CCCGCACAAGCAGCGGAGCGUGUGGUUUAAUUCGAUGAUACACGAAGAACCUUACCAGGUCUUGACAUCCCGAUGCUAUUUCUAGAGAUAGAAAGUUACUUCGGUACAUCGGUGACAGGUGGUGCAUGGUUGUCGUCAGCUCGUGUCGUGAGAUGUUGGGUUAAGUCCCGCAACGAGCGCAACCCCUAUUGUUAGUUGCCAUCAUUCAGUUGGGCACUCUAGCGAGACUGCCGGUAAUAAACCGGAGGAAGGUGGGGAUGACGUCAAAUCAUCAUGCCCCUUAUGACCUGGGCUACACACGUGCUACAAUGGUUGGUACAACGAGUUGCGAGUCGGUGACGGCGAGCUAAUCUCUUAAAGCCAAUCUCAGUUCGGAUUGUAGGCUGCAACUCGCCUACAUGAAGUCGGAAUCGCUAGUAAUCGCGGAUCAGCACGCCGCGGUGAAUACGUUCCCGGGCCUU
rnacentral:rRNA from 1 species